AACGAACGCUGGCGGCAUGCCUAACACAUGCAAGUCGAACGAGAUCUUCGGGUCUAGUGGCGCGCGGGUGCGUAACGCGUGGGAAUCUGCCCUUUGGUUCGGAAUAACAGUUGGAAACGACUGCUAAUACCGGAUGAUGACGAAAGUCCAAAGAUUUAUCGCCAGAGGAUGAGCCCGCGUAGGAUUAGCUAGUUGGUGUGGUAAAGGCGCACCAAGGCGACGAUCCUUAGCUGGUCUGAGAGGAUGAUCAGCCUCACUGGGACUGAGACACGGCCCAGACUCCGACGGGGGGCAGGAGGGGGGAAUAUUGGACAUGGGGCGAAAGCCUGAUCCAGCAUUGCCGGGGGGGUGAUGAAGCCCCUGGGGUUGUAAAGCUCUUUCACCCGGGAUGAAAAGAACAGUCCCGGAAGAAUAAGCCCCGGCUAACCCCGGCCCAGCCCCCGCCGUAA
rnacentral:rRNA from 1 species